rnacentral:rRNA from 1 species
UUGGAGGGCAAGUCUGGUGCCAGCAGCCGCGGUAAUUCCAGCUCCAAUAGCGUAUAUUAAAGUUGCUGCAGUUAAAAAGCUCGUAGUUGAAUUUCGGGACCAUCAUGUCGGUCGUGCCUCGGUACGUACUGGUAUUGUUGGUUUCUCCCUUCUGACGAACCAUGAUGUCAUUUAUUUGGUGUUGUGGGGAAUCAGGACUGUUACUUUGAAAAAAUUAGAGUGUUUAAAGCAGGCUCACGCUUGAAUACAUUAGCAUGGAAUAAUGAAAUAGGACGUUUGAUUCUAUUUUGUUGGUUUCUAGGAUCGACGUAAUGAUUAAUAGGGAUAGUUGGGGGCAUUAGUAUUCAACUGUCAGAGGUGAAAUUCUUGGUUUUAUUGAAGACUAACUACUGCGAAAGCAUUUGCCAAGGAUGUUUUCAUUAAUCAAGAACGAAAGUUAGGGGAUCGAAGACGAUCAGAUACCGUCGUAGUCUUAACCAUAAACUAUGCCGACUAGGGAUCGGAUGAUGUUAAUUUUUUAAUGACUCAUUCGGCGCCUUACGGGAAACCAAAGUGUUUGGGUUC